rnacentral:rRNA from 1 species
UACGUAGGGGGCAAGCGUUGUCCGGAUUUAUUGGGCGUAAAGAGCGUGUAGGCGGUUUGGUAGGUCCGCUGUGAAAACUCGAGGCUCAACCUCGAGACGCCGGUGGAAACCAUCAGGCUAGAGUCCGGAAGGGGAGACUGGAAUUCCUGGUGUAGCGGUGAAAUGCGCAGAUAUCAGGAGGAACACCGAUGGCGAAGGCAGGUCUCUGGGCCACUACUGACGCUGAGAAGCGAAAGCAUGGGGAGCGAACAGG